UUUCACACCUAAGAAGAACAACAACCUUCGAUUCUCUAUCGCAAACCCACACAUGACUAAGACUUGUACUUGUUCCUCAGUCUCAGCUGUUACAAAAAAAUACGAUGUUUUCAUCAGCUUUAGAGGAGAGGACACUCGCUGUGACUUCACCAGCCAUCUUUAUGCUGCUCUCCGCACAAACAACAUGGAAACCUACAUAGACUACAGAAUCCAGAAAGGAGAAGAUCUUUGGGUGGAACUGCUGAAAGCCAUCAAAGACUCCACUCUCUUUUUGGUUAUCUUCUCAGAGAACUACGCGUCUUCAAGUUGGUGCUUGAAUGAACUUGUGGAACUGAUGGAAUGCAAGAAACAACAACAAGAAGACGUUCAUGUUAUUCCUGUGUUCUAUAAGAUAGACCCUUCUCAGGUACGUAAACAGAGAGGGAGUUACCAUGCAGCAUUCGCAAAGCACAAGAAGGAUAAGAAGGUGAGUAAGGAGAAGAUGCAAAAGUGGAAGGACACUCUCGUUCAUGCAGCCAAUUUAUCAGGCUUCCAUUCUCACAAAUACAGGACUGAAUCUGACUUGAUUGAACACAUUAUCAAAGUUAUUUCCGAAAAACUAAAUCACAAGCCCACAACUGAUUUUAGAGGUCGUUUCAUAUCUGAUGAAAACUACACAAACAUUAAAUCUUUAUUGAAAAUUAAUUCGGAGGAAGUUAUAGUCAUUGGAAUUUGGGGCAUGGGAGGUAUCGGUAAAACAACACUUGCUACUGCUGUUUUCCAAAAGGUUUCUUGUCAGUAUGAAGGCACUUGCUUCUUAAAAAGUGUGGCAGAGGAGUCCAAAAGGCAUGGACCAAAUUACAUAUGCAACAAAGUUUUUUCUAAGUUGUUACAGGAAGAUAUCUGUAUUGACACUCCUACACUGAUACCCUCUAUUGUUAAAAAAAGGCUCAGAAGAAAGAAAGUUUUCAUUGUACUAGAUGAUGUCAAUUCUUCAGAACUUGUUGAAAAUUUAAUUGGAGUGGAUCGUGACUGGCUAGGAGCUGGUAGCAGAGUCAUUGUGACAACCAGAGAUAAACACGUGCUUAUAAGUGGAGAUGUUGACAAAAUUCAUCAAGUCAAGGAAAUGAACUUUCAAAACUCCCUUGAACUUUUCAGCUCAUAUGCCUUUCGCAAAACCCAUCCUACGAAGGAAUAUAUGGAGUUAUCAAUAAGAGCAAUAGAGUAUGCCAAAGGAAUCCCGUUAGCUUUGAAAGUUUUGGGAUCAUACCUUCGUUCCAAAAGUGAAAAUGAAUGGGAUAGUGCACUAAAUAAAUUGAAGAAAAUUCCUAAUGUGGAAAUUGAGGAAGUGUUGAGAUUGAGUUAUGAUGGAUUAGAUGAUGAUGAGAAAAAUAUUUUCCUUGACAUAGCUUGUUUCUUCAAAGGACAAAAAAGAGACCAUAUAACAAAAUUAUUAAAUGCUUGUGAUUUUUCUGCAGAUAUAGGGAUAAGGCGUCUUUUAGACAAAGCUCUUAUUGUUACUACUCCAUACAAUAAUUGCAUAGAUAUGCAAGAUAUGAUACAAGAAAUGGGUAGAAGAAUUGUUCGUGAAAAAUCUAUUCAAAGUCAUGGGCAAUGUAGUAGAUUGUGGGAUCCUAAGGAAGUCUAUAAUGUAUUGACAAAUAAUAGAGGAAAUCAUGAAAUUGAAGGAAUAUGGUUAGAUAUGACUCAAAUUACAAAUAUAAAUUUAAGCUCUGGAGUAUUCAAAGAGAUGCCAAACCUGAGAUUACUUGUUUUUCGAUCCCUCAAUGGAGAUUCAAAGAGAAUCAAUUCAAUAUACCUUCCAAAGGGUCUUGAAUUCUUACCUAAUAACUUAAGAUAUUUAGUGUGGAACAGGUACCCUUUAGAAUCUCUACCAUCAACUUUUUGCCCUGACAAUCUUUUUGAGAUUUCCAUGCGACAUAGCAAUGUGGAAAGACUUUGGCAUGGAGUACAGAAUUUUCCAAAUUUAGAGAUAAUUAACCUUUCUGGCUCCAAACACCUUGUGGAGUGUCCAAAUCUGUCUCGUGCCCCAAAACUUAGUCAUGUACGAAUGAGUAGAUGUGAAAGCUUAACUUAUGUUGAUCCAUCAAUUUUGUCCCUCCCAAAGCUUGAAAUUUUGAAUUUAACCGAGUGCACAUCACUUAAGACACUUGGCAGCAACAUUUGUUCACAAUUUCUUCGAGGAUUGUUUUUAGGACUAUCAGGUUUGAGUGAAUUUCCCCCAUCAAUUUUGCUUAUAAAAAAUCUCAAAGCCUUUUCUUUCACAAUUAGUUAUGGUCUUGUGGAUCUUCCUGAAAACUUUUCUCAACAAAUUGUGCUUUAUGAGUCAAGGAAACACAAAGGUGACACUUUCUUGAUCUUACAAAAGGCAUUUCUUUGCCCUGGCUUUCAGUCACUAACAGGUAUAGUAUUUGAGGAUUGUCUAAGCUUGUGUGCAACUGCAAUCCCAAACAACAUCUCCAUGUUAUCAUCAUUGCAAUACUUAACCUUUUAUUGUUGCGCCAUCACAAGCUUACCUGAGAGCAUCAAGCAUCUGACAAGACUCAAAGUUGUUGAAGUUUGUGAAUGCAAAAUGCUUCAAUGUAUACCUGCACUUCCACAAUCCAUUCAACACUUACACAUUUGGAGGUGCCAAUCUCUUCAGAGAGUGUUAUGUUCCACAAUUGAACCAUUUAAAACACCUGAACGUAUUUUUCUGCUUCCUAACUGCUUAACAUUGGAUGAUCAUUCAUAUGAUGCAAUUUUGAAUGAUGCCAUUGUUAUGAUUAAACUUGCAACAGAAACAACAUCGGCAGUUGUAUCAGAAAAUAAAGAAGAUACAUCCAUGAAUAAUUAUUUAUGUGAAUCAACAAAGAUUUGUUAUUCUUUACCAGCUAGAAGUGGAAAAUUUCUAGAUUGGUUUCAUCACCACUCUACACAGGUUUUGGUCCCUAUUGAACAACUUCCACCUGAUUUUUUGGGUUUCAUUUUCUAUUUGGUUGUUUCUCCAAUCCAAUCACGCCACAUUGGAUGUUGUGGAAGUAUUGGAUGUGAAUGCUACUUGGAAACUAGUUGGGAUGAAAGGAUCAAUAUAACAAGUUUCUUUUUAAAUGAAACUGUUAUGCUUUCUCAUCCACCUCCAUUUAAAUUUAUGACAGAUCACAUAUUUUUAUGGUAUGAUGCACGACUUUGCAAGAAAAUAGUGGAAGUAAUUAAAGAGAGGAAAGCUAUUAAUAGUGGUGAUCCAAAGCUUACAUUUAAAUUUUUUGUUCAAUCCCAACAUAAUGAGGAAGCAAUGAUCAUAAAAGAUAGUUGGGUUCGUUGGAUUGAUUCCUCAGAAGAAAUUGGGGACGUAAAUAUAAAAGAAAUAGGGAAAUUCAUGAAGUAAAGGGCAAUGAGUCCAAUGAUCAAGAAGAAAUAUUUCCUCCAACAAAAAAUUCCAAGUAUCGUAUCUUCGAAACUUCAAACUUGGAAGCAGAAGAAACAAAAGUGUUGAGGUGUCAACAUGAAGAACCCUUGCAUAUUCAAUCUAAAGACGUGCAACCAAUAAGAAAUAGUGGCAUAAAUUGGGUAUGGAUAUCAUAGCUAGUAUGAUCAAGCAUUAAGUUAUUCUAAUUGUCCUGGGUCAAUUUUAGGUUCAAUUAUUUAAGUAUGAACUAUAUUUAUCAAGGAUAACAUAAGUAAUUCAUCAGGCAUGAUCAAAACAAAACUCAACCAAUCCUAAAUAAUAUUUUGUAGCAAUUUUAUCAAAAUUAGAUCGAUCAUCGACUUAGUCAUAAUGUUAGGUUAGUGGGUCAAUGAUUUAACUAAUGAAUCACUAGUUGAUCUGGAUGAACCUAUAUAAAUGAGAAUUAUGUCCAUUUGGUGACUAUUGGCAGAGUAUAUAAGUUGGGGGUCAACCAUACACCACAAGACCAUACAAGAUGGUAUGGUAUGGGUGGAGGUUAAGUAGGUUCGAGAUGCAAAUGUUUGAGUUUUUGUGCCCACAAUAAGGUUGAAUGGGAUAGGCUGUCAAUUAUUUCAUUUCAUGCACUAGUGCAAAAUAAGGAUACUACGUCACCUCUUUUAUGUCAGAUAUUCAAAAACACGACAUAAAAAAUAAGUGGUGACAUUUUUGUAAAUAAAAGUGGAAUAUUUUACGUUGGACUAGGUGUGGUCCGACGUAAAAUAUACAAUCUACUUCGGCCACAAUACAAGUCCGACGUAGAUUGUAUAAUUUACGUCAGACCACACCUAGUCCGACGUAAAAUAUUAUUUAUAUGAUGCCCUUUCGUUCUCUUCUCGCGCGCGCCUCAGUUUACUUGUUUUCUCAUCUAAGUUUACUUGUUUUCUCUUCUAAGCUGUUUUGCAUUGGGUCUGCACGUUUGAGGUUAGUUUCAACUUAGUUCUCUUCUUUGCAUUAUUUUGUGUUAGUUGUUCAUCUGGAACGGCCCGUUCUGCGACCAGAACGGGUCGUUCUACUUGAAUUUAUUGUUUGUUAAUUGU